CGGACGGGUGAGUAAUGUCUGGGAAACUGCCCGAUGGAGGGGGAUAACUACUGGAAACGGUAGCUAAUACCGCAUAACGUCGCAAGACCAAAGAGGGGACCUUCGGGCCUCUUGCCAUCGGAUGUGCCCAGAUGGGAUUAGCUAGUAGGUGGGGUAACGGCUCACCUAGGCGACGAUCCCUAGCUGGUCUGAGAGGAUGACCAGCCACGCUGGAACUGAGACACGGUCCAG
rnacentral:rRNA from 1 species